UACAGGGGGGGCAAGCGUUGUUCGGAAUUACUGGGCGUAAAGGGCUCGUAGGCGGCCGGCUAAGUCCGACGUGAAAUCCCCAGGCUUAACCUGGGAACUGCGUCGGAUACUGGCGGGCUUGAAUCCGGGAGAGGGAUGCGGAAUUCCAGGUGUAGCGGUGAAAUGCGUAGAUAUCUGGAGGAACACCGGUGGCGAAGGCGGCAUCCUGGACCGGCAUUGACGCUGAAUAGCGAAAGCCAGGGGAGCAAACAGG
rnacentral:rRNA from 1 species